rnacentral:rRNA from 1 species
CGGGGUGCAGCAGGCGCGAAAACUUUACAAUGCCGGCAACGGCGAUAAGGGAACCUCGAGUGCCAGGUUACAAAUCUGGCUGUCGCGAUGCCUAAAAAGCAUUGCAUAGCAAGGGCCGGGCAAGACCGGUGCCAGCCGCCGCGGUAACACCGGCGGCUCGAGUGGUAACCGUUAUUAUUGGGUCUAAAGGGUCUGUAGCCGGCCGGAUAAGUCUCUUGGGAAAUCCGGCAGCUCAACUGUCGGGCUUUCAGGAGAUACUGUCUGGCUCGAGGCCGGGAGAGGUGAGAGGUACUUCAGGGGUAGGGGUGAAAUCUUGUAAUCCUUGAAGGACCACCAGUGGCGAAGGCGUCUCACCAGAACGGACCUGACGGCAAGGGACGAAAGCUAGGGGCACGAACCGGAUUAGAUACCCGGGUAGUCCUAGCCGUAAACGAUACUCGCUAGGUGUCGGCCACGGUGCGACCGUGGUCGGUGCCGUAGGGAAGCCGUGAAGCGAGCCACCUGGGAAGUACGGCCGCAAGGCUGAAACUUAAAGGAAUUGGCGGGGGAGCACAAG